rnacentral:rRNA from 1 species
GGGGCUNAACUUCGGGGUGGCAGGCGAUACGGGCAUAACUAGAGUGCUGUAGGGGAGACUGGAAUUCNUGGUGUAGCGGUGGAAUGCGCAGAUAUCAGGAGGAACACCGAUGGCGAAGGCAGGUCUCUGGGCAGUAACUGACGCUGAGGAGCGAAAGCAUGGGGAGCGAACAGGAUUAGAUACCCUGGUAGUCCAUGCUGUAAACGGUGGGCGUUAGGUGUGGGGACCGGUUUGGUUUCUGUGCCGUAGCUAACGCAUUAAGCGCCCCGCCUGGGGAGUACGGCCGCAAGGCUAAAACUCAAAGGAAUUGACGGGGGCCCGCACAAGCGGCGGAGCAUGUGGAUUAAUUCGAUGCAACGCGAAGAACCUUACCUGGGUUUGACAUGCACCAGACGGUUGUAGAGAUACGUACCUCCCUUUGUGGUUGGUGUGCAGGUGGUGCAUGGUUGUCGUCAGCUCGUGUCGUGAGAUGUUGGGUUAAGUCCCGCAACGAGCGCAACCCUUGUCUUAUGUUGCCAGCACUUUGGGUGGGGACUCAUGAGAGACUGCCGGGGUUAACUCGGAGGAAGGUGGGGAUGACGUCAAAUCAUCAUGCCCUUUAUGCCCAGGGCUUCACACAUGCUACAAUGGUUAGUACAACGCGCUGCGAGCCUGUGAGGGUGAGCGAAUCGCUGAAAGCUAAUCUCAGUUCGGAUUGGGGUCUGCAACUCGACCCCAUGAAGUCGGAGUCGCUAGUAAUCGCAGAUCAGCAAUGCUGCGGUGAAUACGUUCCCGGGCCUUGUACACACCGCCCGUCACGUCAUGAAAGUUGGUAACACCCGAAGCCCAUGG